CUUCAAGGGCCGUAUAGAGCCAUUUCAGGGCCGUAUGGAACCUGACUUCAAGGGCCGUAUGGAGCCUGACUUCAAGGGCCGUAUAGAGCCGGAUUUCAAGGGCCGUAUGGAACCCGAUUUCAAGGGCCGUACGGAACCCGAUUUCAAGGGCCGUAUGGAACCCGAUUUCAGGGGCGUAUGGAACCCGAUUUCAAGGCGUAUGGAACCCGAUUUCAAGGGGCGUAUGGAACCCGAUUUCAAAGGGCCGUAUGGAGCCGGAUUUCAAGGGCCGUAUGGAACCCGAUUUCAAGCCACGCAUGGAACCGGACCCGAAGUCUCGAAUCGACGCGGAAACGAAGCCUCCACGCACAGAAUCUCGCCUUGAGACCCCAACACGAGACGGAGACAACAGGACCCCAGUCGGGAACGAGGGGCCCAUCUUCGGGAGGCUGGAGAGACUCGAGGCUCGCAUGGGCCGACGGGAGCCCGAGGAAGAGACCGAUGGAGAGAUACGUGGAGCAGGUGGUGAGAGACAAGGAACAAGAGAGCUGCGGUCCGGCCCCAACAGUGGAGAUGGUGUCCAGGAGGAAGAUACUGGGACGGUCACAAGACAACCUCAACGUCGACCUACCGUAUCAGGAGGAGGAGGAGGAUGCCUGGUAUAAGGUGGACAAGUUGUUUAAGGAUCACAUUCAAGAAGUAUUGAUGAAGUGGGAACAAAUUGACGACGAGAUCUGGUCCAAAGUGAUCGUGUUGGAACGAAACAGACGGGUCGCUAAGGCCUAUGCUCGCGCCCCUGUCCUUACUGUCAACGGUUCUGACGACGGCUUUGAUGGAUACAGGAUCGGUUUAUGUGGCUUUGAAAAUCCGAUGCGGGACCCUAGAACAGAGGAAAUCAGGCGUCACAUUGGGCAUGGUGUCAAGGUCAAGAUGGAUGAUCAGGGGAACAUCCUCAUCAAGCGAGUGUCCAAGGCUGGGGUGUACGUGAAGAUGGGCAGCGAUGAUAACGCCAUCAGUAACGAGAUCCUCAAACUGCCCAACUGUGGCCUGGAGACAGAGAAACCUGUCAUGCUCUUUGACAUGAACAAGUUCCAGCAGAAUGUAAAGCGAGAAAUGCGUCGCCAGUACCCAGACCGCUCCAAGCUUGAGACCCAGUGUGUGUGUGUCAUCGCCUUCGUCAAGAAUGAGCCUGACCUCCUAGACUGUCCCAUUUGGGUUAUGAUCAUCAACAUUGUGGCUAUGGACAUGUUGAAGAGUAAACUCCCACCAGUCAAGGUAACACCCAACAUCAGGAACCGCCCACGCAUUCCCCUCCCAGAUGAAGACCCGUACAGCGUAGCCGGGUCAGGUGCAUCCUCCGGGUCUUCGGGUAAAGACCGCUCGGGUAAGGAUAAGCCGCCUAAGCUGCCUCCACGGGACAGUCCUAACUAUCCGAACCCAGUCCCAAGACCCAAUGGUAAGUCGGAAUAUGAUGCCUUAGAUGAGAACGCCUUCCGUAAGCUCCAUUCCCGCAACAAUAACAACAACAAGACUAAAGAUCGCAAGUAUGAUGAUCCCUACUAUUGUGGCCUACGAGCUCGCAUCCCCAACUUCGCUAUGACCAAGUCGAAGGAUAAGCAAGAGCCUGGCCGGGUCCAGUACCCCAAUGGACCCCCCAUUCCUGCCCACCCAAUGUGGCACACCCGUAGCUUCGAUUCGGGCAUGGCUCUUUUGCAACAGAACCAUGUGCAAAAUAUACACAGACUAGAGCGGAACCCCUGCUCGUGGGUGCCGUCAAUACCAGUCAGGAAUGAAACUGAAUGGGAAUCCUACUGGGACUCAUGAACUGACAGUAAAUCAAAACAGUGGAAGCAUAAGAAAACCAUCCUGAGGCUCUUAGACUCUGACUUCACUGAGUCUGCUUACUCCCACAUCUAUGGUCGUCUGCCUCUGCCCAACAGGGGUUACUUGCCACCCCCCUUACCCCACCCGCGCUCCAUGU
rnacentral:misc_RNA from 1 species